ACGCACGCUGGCGGCGUGCUUCACCCAUGCCAGUCGAACGGAAAGGCCCUGCUUUUGUGGGGUGCUCGAGUGGCGAACGGGUGAGUAACACGUGAGUAACCUGCCCUUGACUUUGGGAUAACUUCAGGAAACUGGGGCUAAUACCGGAUAGGAGCUCCUGCUGCAUGGUGGGGGUUGGAAAGUUUCGGCGGUUGGGGAUGGACUCGCGGCUUAUCAGCUUGUUGGUGGGGUAGUGGCUUACCAAGGCUUUGACGGGUAGCCGGCCUGAGAGGGUGACCGGCCACAUUGGGACUGAGAUACGGCCCAGACUCCUACGGGAGGCAGCAGUGGGGAAUAUUGCACAAUGGGCGGAAGCCUGAUGCAGCAACGCCGCGUGCGGGAUGACGGCCUUCGGGUUGUAAACCGCCUUCGCCUGUGACGAAGCGUGAGUGACGGUAAUGGGUAAAGAAGCACCGGCUAACUACGUG
rnacentral:rRNA from 1 species